GUUGUGGGAAGUCAUGGCUAUGGUGCCAUCAAAAGGUAUUCCCUCAAACUUGUUCCAACCAUUUCGAUCGAGUGGAACAACCAUCGCUGAUUUGUGUGAUUAAGUUUGAGCCGAGCUUGAUGAUACUUGUUUUCUGUGGAAAAUUUAAUGCUUUGUUUGGUUCUGGUGCAGGGCGGUUCUGGGAAGCGUAAGCGACUACUGCACUCAUCACGCUCACUGCACCGUGAUGAUUGUGAAGAAGCCUAAAAUCAAGCACUGACUGGCCUCUGGGGUUCAGUUAAGCACGACGAACUCAGAUUCGUGUUUGAAAAAUUGCUGAUAUAUAGAUAAUAAAUUUGUCCCCUUGAGAGUUGAAUCUUGAAAGGUUGUAUGUUUAUAUACUUUGUACUUAUGGUUUGAUCGUUCAAAAUUCAGAGUAUGGCAUGUAUUUUAUAGGUUGAAACAAGAUUCCGAGAUUUAGUAAUCAACUACCGAAUUAGAAUACUUAUUUCCCGCUCAAAGUGAUUAGAAAUGACUAACUCCCUUCCUGAUAGACUCAAAUAUGAAAGCAAAAUGCUUCACAGAACUCAAAGGCUAAUAAGUUUUUAUCUCUAUAUAUAUACCCAUACACGCAUACGUACAUGUAGAAAAGUCGGAGAUGCACCGACCGGAUUAGAGUCCAAUCUCCGGUAAUUCUCGUCGGGACCAAGCUUGCGCUCGAGCCCAAAGUAGGAGUUCUCGAAGAGGACGCCAAAGUGGUGGAGGCCAGGGCAGCAGACAGCGACCUUGUGAAGGGAGGCCCAGCCGCCGGAGGCUCCUGAGGCUCGGAGGAGCCGGUAAGGAGAUCAGAGAUGACGGAGGGGAUGACCUUGUAGCACUCGGUCUUCCAGCAGACGUUACGGAUCAAGGCGGAAAACUCGGUGCAGGAGAACUUAAGAAAUAAAACUUGGUGCGGGAGAACUUACCUCAUCAAUAAUUAUUGCACAUCAAGUGAACUUCUUUACCAGUUUUCACUUAUGGUGUAGUUUGUUGCUGUUAGAUUCGGUUAAGGGCAUGAGAUGCUUUUGAAUGUGAUUAUGAUUUUGUCAAUCGAGAAAAGUACUAUUCUCAUCGUCAUGUAUCAAAAGUUCGAAUUAGCUGUCGAGAAAAGUACCAUUCUCUUCGUCUCAUUGAGAAGUAUGAUUUUCGUUUUUGAAUUAUUCGAUUUUGUAGACUUAAAAAAGUUAUGAACGUUUAAAAUUUAUUCAGUUUUUUAUAAGUUUUCCAGUUUUUCCGCUGAUCAGUCAUCUUUCAGGCUAUUUUUCGGCCAUCUCCAGCAACCAUUGGUCUUCCAAAUAAGUAUAAUCUUGUUCUACACUUUCUCAUCUUCAUUUUGAUAUAUUAUGUGUCGAAUUUGGUUAAGAAAUGAUUGAGUUAUAAAACUUUGAAAAUUGUCCAAACUUCUGGCCAAGAGUUUCGGCACACUUAACGGAGUUUUUAACGAAAUGACCAAAAUAAUGGAUGGUGAAUAAUCUCACACACCAUUCCUAUUGAUUUUCAAUCUCAAAGGCUAAAAUAAUAAAUGGUGGAUAAUCUCAGACAUCAUUUCAGAUAAAUUUUAUUUCUUAAGUUAUCAACGUUCUGAUAUACAUAUUUGAUGAUUUGUAUAAUAAAUGUACCAUCCGUAUCAUUGAAAAAUCUUUCCAUUUAAAUAAUAGCCGGCCAGAAAGAAGAAGGAACUAGAAACGAGAACACAACAAAGAAGGUGAAGAACUAGAGAGAGAGAGAGAGAGAAAGGUGAGCAUUAAUGGCGGCAGGGAAGCAAGUGAUGGUGAUCGGAGCGGACGACAGCGAGGAGGGCCAUUACGCUCUGGAAUGGACUUUGGAUCACCUCUUCAAGCCUUUGGGCGGCGACACAGCUCCGUUCAAGCUCAUCAUCGUCCACGCCAAGCCAUCGGUUUCCUCCGUCGUUGGCUUCGUCGGCCCCGGUAAGAGUCCUAACUGCAACGGGAAGUGAUCUCUGAAAACCUUUAUGUCUUACCUGCUAAUUAAUCAAUUGUUUGUUUAGUUAAUUAUGAUUAGCUAAUUUGCGUGUUGUGCCGAAUUGCAGCAGGGGCGGAGGUUCUGCCGAUCGUGGACGCUGAUUUGAAGAAGAUGGCUGCCCGUGUAACUGAGAGGGCCAAGGAAUUUUGCGCUUCUAAAUCGGUAUUUGUCAAAUUUUAUUUAUUGGACUUUUAUCACACACCGUCCUUGAAAUUGACCCAAACUAUGGUCCCUAAAAUUGAAAUUCGAUCAAUAUAAUCUCUGAAAACGGAUGUCAAUUUAUAUAAUUUAUAAAGGAUAUCGAACUUAAGCAUGAGCAGGGUGAACGCAAUGAUAUGAACAACUCACAUUUGUAACGUCUUUCCAUAUGAGCGUUUCCGGCAUAUAUUCAAAAAGAGAUUUGAAAUUCUUACGCUAUCAUAUGUCAGAACGGAACCUAAUGAUCUCACACCGAUGUGAUACGAAGAAGUUGCGCUUUCGCUGGCAGCUUUUCUGAGCAUUACAUGUUCUAAUGGUUGCAGGUGACCGAUGUGGUCGUGGAGGUUAUGGAAGGAGAUGCUAGGAACGUUCUGUGUGAGGCUGUUGAAAGACACCACGCAUCCAUCUUGGUUGUGGGAAGUCAUGGCUAUGGAGCCAUCAAAAGGUUUUCCCUCAAACUUGUUCCAACCUUUUCGAUCGAGUGGAACAACCAUCGCUAAUUUGUGCGAUUAAGUUUGAGCCGAGCUUGAGGUUACUUGUUUUCUGUGGAAAUCUUAAUGCUUUGUUUGGUUCUGGUGCAGGGCGCUUCUGGGAAGCGUAAGCGACUACUGCGCUCAUCACGUUCACUGCACCGUGAUGAUUGUGAAGAAGCCAAAAACCAAGCACUGAGUGGCCUCUGGGUUCAGUUAAGCACGACGAACGCAUAUUCGUGUUUGAAAAAUUACGAUAUUUAGAUAAUAAAUUUGUCCCCUCGAGAGUUGAAUCUGGAAAGGUUAUAUGUAUAUAUACUUUGUACUUAUGGUUCGAUCGUUCAAAAUGCAGCGUAUGGCAUGUAUUUUAUAGGUUGAAGGAUGAAGCUUUCAAACUUCUGUAUGACGAGUUGAAUCUUGACAAGAUGAAGCUUUCAUGGCAACACAACAAUUGAGAAAAAUGGAGCCAAUAGCCAUCAGUUGGAAAUUAAAAGAUUAGGCAAGUCAGACUACAAGUAAAGUUUGGUCUUCGGACUACAAACGCAGCAGUCAACUCUCUUAUUAGUGCAAAACAUAUAGAAAGAAUCAAGAUUCCGAGACUUAGUCAUCAACUACCGAAUUAGAAUACUUCUUUCCUGCUCACAGCGAUUACAAAUGACUAAGGGCUGGUUUGGUAUUGCUGUGUUUUAAAAAAAAAAAACUGCUUCUACUGUGAUGUGGGAAUAAGCAGUUGUGAAAUAAAGUAACGGAGUGUUUAGUAAACUUUUUUGUAAAAGUGCUUUUGGAAAAAAAAACAGUAUUAUAGUGUUUGAUAAACUUUUAUGUAAAACAGAUAUGAUUAUAUGAAAUAACCAAAAAAUGUAUAAUACUAGAUGUGCCAUUAAUUUAAUUUUCUUAAGUCUUACCCCUUUAUUUUCUCCAUUUGCAUCGAGAAGUCUCUCCAACUACCCCACUACUGAAACAGACUUUCCAAAAACCAAAAACGUCUCUCAAGAAGUCUCCCUCAAAACCCCAAUUCUCUCAGUUUUUUUUUUUUUUUUUGUGGCUCCGUCUUCUUCUUUUUUAUUUUCUGCUCCGUUCCUUAAUCUUUCUCACCUGUCAUCUGAUUUGCAAUACAUACAUGGUCUAGCUGCUUGAGGAGUUCAUUAUAUACAUCAAGUAGGGCCAACGCUCCACGAUGCUGGUUUUUUUCUUCUUCCAGGACUAAUUAUUUUUUCUUUUUGAAACUAUAUAGUGUGAAUUUGAUCAUACGAAGUAGUUUCCUGUAUUUAAUUUUGGGUAUUUGGAAUAAUUGAGUUUUGAUGUCUGUUUGGGCAAUCUGGGCUCUCUUAAUUUGCAGAAAUACAAAGAUCAGUAGCCUGUAAGCGACGCAAUCUGGGAAAUCUGGGCAAAUAUGCGAUGCCUAAGCCGAAUCUAGUCCUCGCCGGAAAAGAUAGUGGUAUUUCUUAGCUCGAUUUUGUCAGCAUAGGAGUGAGAGAUGACGGACAAGAGAUGGGAGGAAGGACAAAGGCAGAAACAACGUCCUAGGGUAUGGAAUCCAAGGUCAAUAACGGUGAUUGUUGAAACUAGGAGUGAACGGCGUUGUGGUGGGAUCGACGAGGACGACCUUCCAAUUGAAGUCGGCGACGUUUUUUAGUUGGUAUUAUGUGUAAUUAUUUAAUUGUUUAAGGUCAUUUUGGGUGUUUGAAAGUUUCAUUAAAGGGUUUAGUGCCUCUUGCAAGAUAAAACGUAUAUCUACACAUGCCACUUUGAAUGUUAAGUUUUCCUAAUUUAUAUUCUACUUGGAACCUCCAACAUAGAACGUAUAUCUAACAUGCAAUCCGUCUGGACAUUCGGAUAAACUCUGAACAUGAGAGACUCAUUAUGCUUUAUGAAAACCCUUUUGAAAAACUAUGCAACCCUUAAGACGUGGUGUUCAUCUUAAAUGAAAUUACAAUUAUUAACCACAAUAAGCCAGCGUCAAUUUCAGGGAACUUUCCGACUAAAAUUGCAUCAAAUUACUUUUCUAAAGAUCUUAAUGGUGACUAGGCAUUAAGACAAUUAGAUAGUUUUAAUCAUGGUGAUUAAUAAUUCAAAGUAAGCAUGCAAUCAAUCAUAAGUGAUUAAAUAAAAAUUACAUAUUCAUGAUAAGGCUCAAGGUUUUGCCUUAACAAAAUGAAUUAGUUACCCAUAUUCAUAAUUAAAAUCAUAGAAAAUAUUAUUAUAAAGAAAAGGAUUGAAAACACCUUAAAGUAGAAAAUCUUCAAGAACCCUUGCAAUUCUCUCUAUCUCCAAAGUUUCAUAAAAGCAAGCGUACCCAAAAUUGAACACGGCAAAGUAAUAUACCCUGCUAUGCCAUCGCACAAUCCCUAAAACUCAGGUCUUUUACUCCAACUAGGAAACUAAAUAAUAAUAAAAUAACUUAGAAAAUAAAAUCCUAAUUGAACUAGGAGAAUCUGCCAAGUACUUGUCCAGCCACGUUUUAGCCUCAAAUAUCCCCCAAAUCUGGCCCAUGAUAGCUUGUUUUGAAGAUCAGGACGUUCUAAACACAUCUCUAAAAGGCCACGAACCCAUCCGAGGUUAUCUUGAGCUCCAAAAACGUAAUUCAAACCCAAAAUGUCUUUAUUCCAGCACUGCGCAUCGCUCCUUUAUUUUAUGGGAGUUUUAACGAAAAGCUCAUGGUACUGUUCACUUUAACGAAAACCCACAUUUUUACACUAAAAAAUCAAACAUGUUACUAUUCACUUUACCCUUUAUUUUGUCAUUAUCGUUAAAAUUCAAAGUUUUCAAGCCUUUUACAUUAGUUUUCCUUUAUUUUAUUGCCAGAAAGUCACCGCUAGGUAGAAAAUUCCAAAUUUUGACACAAUCAAGCCAAGUGACUCACGAACGUCCUCCAACUGGAAUUACUCCAAAAUUCAUCUAUUUGACCGUGUUUUGCUCUAGAGAAAGUUGAAAGUCCUAUAUUAAAAAUAUAAUUCAAAGUAUCAAAAAAAUUUCAAAAUAUUAAUUAAAAUAUACUAAAUAUAGGAUUAAAUAUAUAAUAUAAAAUAUAGUAAUCAAUCACAUUGAAAAAUCUUUUCUUUUAAAUAAUAGCCGGCCAGAAAUAAGAACUGGAGAGAGAAACGAGAACACAAGAAAGAAGGUGAAGAACGAGAGAGAGAGAGAGAGAGAGAGAGAGAGAGAAAGGUGAGCAUUAAUGGCGGCAGAGAAGCAAGUGAUGGUGAUCGGGGCGGACGACAGCGAGGAGAGCCACUACGCUCUGGAAUGGACUUUGGAUCACUUCUUCAAGCCUUUCGGCGGCGACACUGCUCCGUUCAAGCUCAUCAUCGUCCACGCCAAGCCAUCGGUUUCCUCCGUCGUUGGCUUCGUCGGCGCCGGUAAGAAUCUUAACUGCAACGGGAAGUGAUCUCUGAAAACCUUUAUGUGUUACCUGCUAAUUAAUCAAUUGUUUGUUUAGUUAAUUAUGAUUAGCUAAUUUGCGUGUUGUGCCGAAUUGCAGCAGGGGCGGAGAUUCUGCCGAUCGUGGACGUUGAUUUGAAGAAGAUGGCUGCCCGUGUAACUGAGAAGGCCAAGGAAUUUUGCGCUUCUAAAUCGGUAUUUGUCAAAUUUUAUUUAUUUGGUUUUUUAUCGCACACCGUAAUUGACCCCUGAAGAGAAAGUUACUCAAGUAACUCAACAUAAUAGUAAUAACAAACAGUUAAAAGUUAGUUAGGAAAAUUACCACACUUGUAACUUUCCUUUACUCUGUUAGUCUGUUGUAUUUAGCUUCCAUAUAAAUACUCUUGUAACUUAUCCUUUGAGGUAAUGAAAAUCAUUUCACAAUAUGGUAUCACUCGCCUAAAGUCUCCCGACUAAGAUCCUUCGUACGCUUCCUCUCAUUUUCUUAGUAACCAAACAGGUCUCAUUCCUGUCAUUUUCUCUCUGCAAUCAACAAUCUAUGGCGGCCAAUUCUUCGACUUCUUCUUCCCCAGUGAUCGCGCACCAUCCUUCUCCUCCUGUGCUUGCUGAUCCUCCUUCUUCUUCUCCAAAUCCUCAUCCUUCGGUUCAGUUGCCCACAAACCCUAAUUCUUCAAUUCAGGCCUCGAUCAACUCGAUUACGAUACACAAUAUCGGCAGCAUGAUUCAGACUAAGCUCAAGCGCCAUAACUAUCUUGUGUGGCGAUCUCUCUUCGAGCCGAUCUUUCGUCGCUACAAACUUACCGGUAUUGUUGACGGAUCUGAACCUCCACCGCCUCAAUUUCUUGCUGAUGAUUCUGGUCGAUUCACCUCCGUUCCUAAUCCAGACUAUGAAUUGUGGUAUGAGAAGGAUCAGAACAUCAUUAUCUGGAUCAAUUCCACACUUUCGGAAGAUCUGAUUCCUUUCACUGUUGGUGUUCAAUCUGCGCGAGAACUCUGGCAAAAUCUUGAACGGCGGUUUGGCGGUGUAUCUCGUUCUCACAUUCAUCAACUCCGUUCAACCUUGCAAUCUGCCAAGAAAGGUUCAUCUUCUAUUUCGGAGUAUCUCCAACGCAUCAAGGAGGCUACUGAUGCUCUUGCCGCCGCUGGUGCUCCUGUGGAUGAUCAUGAUCUACUUCUCAUCAUUCUCAAUGGCUUACCUGAUGAGUAUGAUUCUUUUGUGGAUUCUGUUCAGUUUCGACUUGCUGAUACUACUGUUGAUGAUCUUCACGGAUUUUUGUUAAGUAAAGAAAUGGCUCUUGCUCGCAAAGCAUUCCACUCAAGGAACAAAAUUCUGCACCCUAUCAAGCUUUUCAGUCUAUUCCAGCGUCUUCACCUCCACUCCUUCCUACACCUCAGGCGUAUAUUGCUCAGCCUCCUCAUUCCUCUAAUUUCAACAGAGGCAAUUUUCAGCGCAAUAAUUCUCAAAGGAAUUAUAAUAAUCGCAAUCGAUACACUCGUAACCACAUCAACAAGAAUGCUUCUAAUCGUGAAGGAAAUCGUAAUGGUGAAGGAUUUCGUAAUGGUGCUCGGUUCUUUAACAAUAAUUCCAGGAAUGUUCCUUGUCAAAUCUGUGAAGACACUGGUCAUCAAGCGAUUGACUGCUCCAAUCGUAUGAAUCCCAAUUUUCAAGGCCGUAUUCCACCAGCUAAGCUUGCUAUGUAUGCUCGCUCAAAUGCCUCUUCUUCUCCUCCGUGGCUACUUGACUCUGGAGCAAGCUCUCAUAUGACCAACAACCUCCAAAAUCUUCAGAAUCCACAACCUUACAGUGGCCCCCGAUAAAGUCUACAUUGGAGACGGCCAAGGUUUGCCGAUUCUCCACUCUGGUUCCUCGUUACUUCAUACUCCUUCUGCUACUUUUAAAUUACAAAAUGUGUUGCAUGUUCCACACUUGAAGCAUGAUCUUGUUUCUGCAAAUAUGUUUCUUAGAGACAAUUGGUGUUCCUUAACUCUAAAUCCUUUUGACUUUCAUGUCAAGGAUCUUACUACGGGGAGGAUGCUUUUUAGAGCUCCUGUUCGCUGUGGUCUCUAUCCCUUUUCUGCAUCUUCUCAGUCUUCAUCGAAGCAUCAUGGUCUUACUGCACUCAAGGCAUCACAACACACUUGGCAUCAACGUUUGGGGCAUCCAACGUUCAAGACUUUGCAAUCUGUGAUCUCAAAGUCUUCCUUGCCUUUAUCUACUAUUGUCAAACAAUCUUUCUGUUCGAAUUGUGUUUUAGGCAAAUGUGCCAAGUUACCUUUUCAGAAUUCUAUUUGUCAUUCUUCUAGAUCUUUAGAGUUGGUUCAUGCGGAUGUUUGGGGUCCCGCUCCCCUGUCUUCUAUCAGUGGAUAUCGAUUCUAUGUCAUAUUUGUUGAUGACUUUACUAAGUACACUUGGCUGUAUCCUCUCAAACAUAAAUCAGAAGUAUUUCAAGUUUUUGUUCACUUUCAAGCUCUUGUUGAAAAUCUGUCUGGUCACAAAAUUGGCACUUUGAGAUGUGACUCAGGGGGUGAGUUUAUUAGUACUCAGUUCAAACAGCAUUUGUCCAGUCAUGGCAUUCAUCAACAUUUUAGCUGUCCAUACACUCCUCAGCAGAACGGGUGUGCAGAACGGAAACACCGACACAUUGUGGAAACAGCCAGGACACUACUUAUUGCAUCUCAGGUUCCUCAUCAAUUUUGGGUAGAAGCAUUUCUCACUGCAGUUUAUCUCAUUAAUCGGCUUCCUCCAACUGCUAAAUCUUCACCCUGGGAGCAAUUUUUCAAGAAGAAAACCAGAUUAUACUCAACUGAAAAUCUUUGGUUGCAGCUGCUAUCCUUGGCUCAAGCCAUAUACACAGUCCAAACUCGACCCCAAGAGCAAGUUAUGCGUUUUUAUUGGCUACAGUUUGGUUCACAAAGGUUACAGAUGCUUAGACCCCUUCACCAAUAGAGUGUAUGUCUCCCGGCAUGUCUACUUUGAUGAAACCACAUUCCCAUUUCAUAAUCCCUCUCUUGUUUCACAGCUACCCUCUUGUGCUUCCUCCUCAGUCACUCCUUCCUCAUUUUCCCUUACCUUUCCCAACCUUUAUUCUUCAUCCCCUCUUACUCCUUCUAUUACACGUUCACAAUCCCUUACCUCUCCCCCUGUCUUUCAACCUCCACCCUCUGUAAGUCCUACUGACUUUGCAUCUGAAUCAGUUUCUGUACCUGCACCUGUCUCAGUUCCUAAUAUUGUCCCAGUUCCUGAUAUUGUCCCUGUCCCACCUCCAACCCUUCCUGUCUCUACUCAUCCUAUGCAAACCAGGUCCAAAUCUGGAAUUUUUAAACCCAAGGCCUUUACUGUUACCAAGCAUCCUCUUCCUUCCAACUUAAACACUGAAUUUGUUCCAACUACAUACAUUCAGGCAUCCAAAUAUCCCCAUUGGAGAACUGCAAUGCAGGAUGAGUUUAAUGCUCUGCAAAAUACAAGAACUUGGACAUUGGUUCCUUCUGAUCCUUCUUACAAUCUCGUUGGGUGCAAAUGGGUCUUCCGGAUUAAAAGGAACCCUGAUGGUUCUGUGGACCGUUAUAAAAGCCCGGUUAGUAGCUAAGGGCUACAAUCAGCAGGAGGGUAUUGAUUACAGUGAUACGUUUAGCCCAGUGGCUAAACCAGUUACAAUUCGACUCUUCUUCUCACUCUUGCAGUUCAGUCAAAUUGGUUUCUGCAUCAAUUGGAUGUCAGUAAUGCGUUCUUGCAUGGCUCUCUCAAGGAAGAUGUGUAUAUGUCUCAGCCUCCAGGCUUCAUUGAUCAGGACAAAUCUUCUUUAUGUUUGUCACUUGCAAAAAUCCCUCUAUGGCUUGAAACAAGCUCCUCGGGCUUGGUUUGAAAAACUGCAAUCUGCUCUAUUCUCUAUGGGAUUUAAGGCCUCACAAUCUGAUCACAGCUUGUUUGUGUUGCAACAACCUGUCUUGGUGAUUGUUUUGGUUUAUGUUGACGACAUUCUUGUCACCGGACCUUCUUCCACAGCCUGCACUAAUGUUAUCUCUCAACUUAGUGAUCAGUUUCCCAUUAAGGAUUUAGGCGAUCUGCAUUUUUUCCUUGGUUUGGAGGUUACCCGAGAUUCUACAGGAAUCUUUAUUCAUCAAUCUAAGUACAUCUUAGAUCUUCUCAAACGCACUAAAAUGGAUGGAGCAAAGCCCUGCACCACUCCUCUUGGUUCUACUAAGCUUGAUCUCACUGGUUCUCCAUUGGAUAAUCCAGAGGAAUAUCGCUCUAUUGUUGGUGCUCUUCAGUAUCUUACAUGGACUCGUCCGGAUCUCUCCUUUUCAGUAAACUUGGUCUGUCAGUUUAUGCAUUCUCCUCGGGAACCCCAUUUUCAAGCAGUGAAGCGCAUACUUCGCUAUCUUAAGGGAAACACUUGGCUAUGGUCUCUGGUUUCCUAAAAACUCGGCUCCUCUUACUCUCAACGCAUAUUCUGAUGCUGAUUGGGCAGGCUGUUCCUGGGAUAGACGUUCUACUGGGGGAUUUUGCAUCUUUCUUGGAUCCUCUCUCAUCAGCUGGAGUGCCAAGAAGCAACACACCGUUGCUCGUUCCUCCACCGAAGCUGAAUAUAGGUCCUUGGCACACACUGCUGCUGAAUUAACAUGGAUCUGCAAAUUGUUCACUGAUAUUGGUUUCAAGCUGCCUUCUCUUCCUCAAAUUUGGUGUGAUAAUGUUUCUGCGAUCGCCCUUGCUUCCAACCCUGUUUUCCAUGCUCGUACCAAGCAUGUGGAAAUAGAUUACCAUUACAUAAGGGAACUUGUUCUUGCCAAGUUGCUGGCUGUCCAAUUUGUAUGCAGUCAGGAUCAACUUGCUGACAUUCAUACCAAAUCCCUUCCUAGGCAACGCUUUCUUUUUCUCCGGUCCAAGCUAUCACUUCAACCUUCUCCGUUUAGCUUGAGGGGGUGUGAAGAGAAAGUUACUCAAGUAACUCAACAUAAUAGUAAUAACAAACAGUUAAAAGUUAGUUAGGAAAAUUACCACACUUGUAACUUUCCUUUACUCUGUUAGUCUGUUGUAUUUAGCUUCCAUAUAAAUACUCUUGUAACUUAUCCUUUGAGGUAAUGAAAAUCAUUUCACAAUAACCCCAACUAUCAAGAUGGUCCCUAAAAUUGAAAUUCGAUCAAUAUAAUCUCUGAAAACGGAUGUCAAUUUAUAUAAUUUAUAAAGGAUAUCGAACUUGAGCAUGAGCAGGGCGAACGCAAUGAUAUGAACAACUAACCUAACUCACAUUUGUAACGUCUUUUUAUAUGAGCCUUUCUGAGCAUUACAUGUUCUAAUGGUUGCAGGUGACCGAUGUGGUCGUGGAGGUUAUGGAAGGAGAUGCUAGGAACGUUCUGUGUGAGGCUGCUGAAAGACACCACGCAUCCAUCUUGGUUGUGGGAAGCCAUGGCUAUGGAGCCAUCAAAAGGUUUUCCCUCAAACUUGUGCCACCCUUUUCGAUCGAGUGGAACAACCAUCGCUAAUUUGCGUGAUUAAGUUUGAGCCAAGCUUGAGGAUACUUGUUUUCUGUGGAAAUUUUAAUGCUUUGUUUGGUUCUGGUGCAGGGCGUUUCUGGGAAGCGUAAGCGACUACUGCGCUCAUCAAGCUCACUGCACCGUGAUGAUCGUGAAGAAGCCUAAAACCAAGCACUGAGUGACCUCUGGGGUUCAGUUAAGCGCAACGAACACAUACUCGUGUUUGAAAAAUUACGAUGUAUAGAUAAUAAUUUUGUCCCCUUGAGAGUUGAAUCUUGAAAGGUUAUAUGUAUAUAUACUUUGUACUUAUGGUUUGAUCGUUCAAAAUUCAGAG
rnacentral:lncRNA from 1 species